GUUUACAUAGCAUGGUUAUUAGCACCAAGUAGCCAUUCUUGCGUCCUUAUACUGAUUCAAAGUCAGAAGGCUGCAAAUAAGAAAGAGCCAACCAUUAGAAGAACAUAUUCCCGUCUGCUCCUGCUUGUUUCUCGCACUACAUGAUCCUCAGAGUGGAGAUAUAAGUCUUAAAGUUGCCUGCAUGCUUCAAGCAUAGAUAUUAGAGUAAAUGAAAGGGAUUGGAAACUUCCGUUCGCAGCUGGAAAUGCUAGUUACCUAUACCGUAUUAAUUUUAAGCCAAUUUGCUCUAAUUAAUCGUAUGUAAAAUUGAAAAUUGCUGGAGAAGUGAAGCAGAUAACCCUUCAGUAAUGUAGAGGGACACUCUUUCUACUUGCCCAAGUAGUCUGCUAUGGCAAUCAUGAUGUUUGCAGUUGGAAUUCAUUGUUAAUCAGCACUGUCAAUCAUUAAUCACCAUAUUACAUGUUUAAUUGUAUAUUUUCUGUAAUUUAUAAUCUACAUGAUUGAGAGUGUGCCAGUGACCUCCGGUAUGUUCUAAGCAUUAGAAUAGUGUGAUAGUUGAUGUCAUAGACCAUUUAGUUUU